ACGGCUCAGUAACACGUGGACAACCUACCCAAAGGUCUGGGAUAACUCCGGGAAACUGGGGAUAAUACCGGAUAGGUCAAGAGUACUGGAAGGGUUUUUUGAUUGAAAGCUCUGGCGCCUUUGGAUGGGUCUGCGGCUGAUUAGGUUGACGCCGGUGUAAAGUACCGGCGUGCCGAUUAUCAGUACGGGUUGUGGGAGCAAGAGCCCGGAGAUGGAUUCUGAGACACGAAUCCAGGCCCUACGGGGCGCAGCAGGCGCGAAAACUCUACAAUGCAGGCAACUGCGAUAGGGGAACAUCGAGUGGCAUCUACAUUAGAUGUCUGUCCAGCUGUCUAAAAAACGGCUGUUAGCAAGGGCCGGGCAAGACCGGUGCCAGCCGCCGCGGUAAUACCGGCGGCUCGAGUGGUGGCCGAUAUUAUUGAGUCUAAAGGGUCCGUAGCCGGCUUUGCAAGUCUUGUGGGAAAUCCAGCGGCUUAACCGUUGGGCGUCUGCGGGAUACUACAUUGCUUGGGACUGGGAGAGGUAGGAGGUACUCAGGGGGUAGGAGUGAAAUCCUGUAAUCCUCUGGGGACCACCGGUGGCGAAGGCGUCCUACCAGAACAGGUCCGACGGUGAGGGACGAAAGCUAGGGGCACGAACCGGAUUAGAUACCCGGGUAGUCCUAGCCGUAAACGAUGCCCGCUAGGUGUCACGGCAGUCGUGAACUGCCGUGGUGCCGUAGGGAAGCCGUGAAGCGGGCCACUUGGGAAGUACGGCCGCAAGGCUGAAACUUAAAGGAAUUGGCGGGGGAGCAC
rnacentral:rRNA from 1 species